rnacentral:rRNA from 1 species
AAUUUAGUAGCGAAGUAGCUGAUUUCACACUGUCAAGAAAAGUCUCUAUCGAGGUUAAAGGUACCCGUACCGCAAACCGACACAGGUGGGUGAGGAGAGUAUCCUAAGGCCAGCGAGAGAACUGUUGUUAAGGAACUCGGCAAAAUGACCCCGUAACUUAGGGAUAAGGGGUGCCACCAUCAGGUGGCCGCAGAGAAUAGGCCCAAGCGACUGUUUACCAAAAACAUAGGUUUCUGCUAAGUCGCAAGACGAUGUAUAGGAGCUGACGCCUGCCCGGUGCUGGAAGGUUAAGGGGAUCUGUUAGAGCAAUCGAAGCAGUGAACUUAAGCCCCAG